UAGUGAAGCUUCCGUUUCACAUUUUUUCAACAUACAUAAUCACUAUUUCAAACAAACCAGAACAAAAAUAAUUCAUCAAUUAACAUUAAAUUAAUAUAUUACAAUCUGUUACAAUAUUACAAUUUACACUCUACUAUAGUCAAACUAAUCAAACAAAUAUUUUUUGACUAGGGCUUCACUGCUUUGCACUUGGUUUCAC
rnacentral:lncRNA from 1 species